rnacentral:rRNA from 1 species
CCUACGGGAGGCAGCAGUGGGGAAUCUUCCGCAAUGGGCGAAAGCCUGACGGAGCAACGCCGCGUGAAUGAAGAAGGCCUUCGGGUCGUAAAGCUCUGUCUUAUGGGACGAAGGUCUCGCGUGUAAAUAAUGCGUGAGGAUGACGGUACCAUAGGAGGAAGCCCCGGCUAACUACGUGCCAGCAGCCGCGGUAAUA